AUGGCGAUCUCCACCGAUUCGCGCAGCGAGGAGAAGCCUUCGCAGCAUUCUCAGGUGGAGAAGCGGUGGGUGUUGUCUGACUUUGACGUUGGGAAGGCACUUGGGAGGGGCAAGUUUGGCCAUGUCUACUUGGCCAGAGAAAAGAGGAGUAGUCAUAUUGUGGCUUUGAAAGUUCUUUUCAAGAGCCAACUCAAACAAUCUCAGGUGGAGCAUCAGUUACGGCGCGAAGUAGAGAUACAGAGUCACCUUAGGCACCCCAAUAUUCUUCGCCUAUAUGGGUAUUUUUAUGAUCAGACCCGUGUUUACCUAAUCUUGGAGCAUGCCGCAAAAGGAGAGCUGUACAAGGAGUUGCAGAGAUGCAAGCAUUUUUCUGAAAGACGCUCGGCAACUUACAUUGCAUCAUUGGCCCGUGCCCUCAUCUAUCUUCACGGGAAGCACGUGAUACAUCGAGAUAUUAAACCGGAAAACCUUUUAGUUGGAGUACAGGGAGAGCUGAAGAUUGCAGACUUUGGCUGGUCUGUUCAUACCUUCAACCGAAGAAGGACAAUGUGUGGGACUUUAGAUUAUCUGCCUCCUGAAAUGGUGGAGAAGACAGAGCACGAUUACCAUGUAGACAUAUGGAGCUUGGGCAUCCUAUGUUAUGAAUUCCUUUAUGGGCUCCCACCUUUUGAAGCCAAAGAACACUCCGAGACAUAUCGAAGGAUAGUAAAAGUGGACCUGAAGUUCCCGUUGAAACCGUUUGUGUCUCCUGCUGCGAAGGACCUCAUCUCACAGAUGCUGGUGAAGAAUUCAGCGCAUCGCCUGCCCCUCCAUAAGGUUCUGGAGCACCCCUGGAUCGUCCAAAACGCCGACCCCUCAGGCGUGUACAGGGGGUAG
rnacentral:rRNA from 1 species